GCUCUCCUCUCCUCCACACAGGGCUGGGCUGGAAGUACCAGACCCAGCUGCAACAGUUAGUUGGUGAAAGUGCAUUUCCCUUUUAAACCUCUCAGCUUUGGGUCAUGUCUGCAACAGGAAUACCACAUCAAAGUUGUGUCAUUUCCCUGUGAACUGCUGCUUCUGCUCUAAGGAGGUACCUGAUUGAACUAAAGAGAAGCUGAGAAAAGCAGGCAGAUGCCAUAAUGAGGAACCCUCUCUGCAGCUCCCAGCUCCAUCUCAGUACUCCUCCUUUGUGCACAGCUUCAUUACAUGACUCAUGGCUCAAACGUGAGCUGGGUUCUGGUUAGAAACCCAGGAAGGAGGUAGCUAGCUAAAGGAUGUGUGGUAGCACUAGGUUAAAGCCUUACACUUGCCAAGUGGGUGCGUGAGAAUCCCAGGCUUGUGUGCAGAUGCAGAAAAUACCUAUCCAGACCCAGCCAACCCAUCUUCCACCCAGGCAGGGCAGUUGGUUCCUGUUUUCUGUCAGACUGUGUCCAGACUAGGUGUAGAUGAUAUCAGCAAUGGGCUUCUCUGCCUCUUCUCUUAGGUGAUGGCUCUUCAGUCCAACAGACAGACUACUUGGAAGGUUUAGAUUCACCACCAUCUGCCUUUCCUUUUGAUGGCUUUCCAUCCCCUCCCUUCGCAACUGAAUGUUAUUCUCAUCAGCUGUCUGCUGAUUCUUUCCUCCCGCACCAGCAGAGGGCUGUCUGAAGUGGACUGCAGGAAGAUCAAAGGUGAAUUUUCCAUGAAGAACCAGAUCAAAGUGACUGAAGUGAAGCAGACUUGUGGGGACUAGGUGUCAACAGAAGAGGUGCUCCUGGGAAAGGGAGUCCUUUGGCAUUGUGCAUAGUGCCAUUGUACCUCUCUCACUCUCUGUCUCAUACACACACAGAUAUGUGCACACACACUCACUCACCACAAGUACUCUUUUAAUCCUUUCCCUGCUUCAUAAUAAAACUAAAGAGGACAGUAGGGGUAAUGAAAUGCAUCAAAUAAGUUAAAGGGCCAGUGAGCUACUGCUUAGCCAUGAAGACCAGGACAAAUAAUCCUCCAGCAAAGUCAAAAAGCUCCCCACUUCACAGCAGACUAAGGGAAAAGACAGUCAUUCCUUUAAUCUUUCCCCAGAUGCAGCCUGCAGCCCCAAGCCAGAUGGGAAGGCAUUUUCACCUUUUCAGCAAAGCAACAGCAGGUACCCAUGUGGGGUGACACAAACACGCUGGCAUCCUCCAGCCAUGACCCCUGUGAAGCAAGCAGGAGUUGGGGUUGCCCUACUAAAGGAGUGGAAGCCCAUUUGUCUGAUACAAACUGUGCAUUUGGGACAGAACCCAGGGCGGGGGGGCUCGAUCCUCAAAGGGAGAAACUGCUGCUUUCCUGGGCUCUCCCAAGAGCUCCAAACACCCUUCAGCCUCUCAUCCCUUUGUUGGGAGCUCAAACUCCUGCCAAUUGAGCCCUGGCUAUGUGGAGACUAGGGGGCAGCUACUAUCAACUCCAGUCCCAGCCUUGCCCAUCAACUGGCUCUUGAAAGAACAGGGCAGUAUUAGUGGAUGAGGGGAGACCACCCAGUUACUGCAACCCCCAUCAGGGGGUGCUUAAGAGAAAAAGGCAGGAGACUUGCCUGAGGAACUUGCCAUCAUCUAGUCCUGCACUCACUUAGCAAGGGAUUCUGUAAUGGCAGGGGCAGCAGUCUGUUUGUGAGGAGGGUCUCCACCCAGGAGACCACUCCACCCAGCCUCUGCUCCCCAGGGCUGCCCUGCGGUACAGUGAAAGAGCUGUGGUUGCUGGAGAUGCUGUCAGCAACCUCAGCCCCAGGCUCUUUUCCUGCAGUGGGGAGCUGAGCCUUACAGCACAGAAGCACUAGCCAAAGGCAGGAGCAGGGGGAGAGGGUGAGAUACCCCCAUCUCAGGUUCUCUGGCAGGGGGCACUGUGCCUCACAAGGUAGCAAACAGCACAGCUGUGGAGGCUGCCAGCCAUUAAGAUCUCUCUGAAGAUUUCAUUGGGAAGGAAUCAUUUUAAAAAUAGAGGAAAGAAAAAUCCUGAGGAUCCGGUGAAGUUGGAAGUUGGAAGCCUCUGUUUUGGCAUCAAUCCCUCACCUCCCCUUAAUUCCCAGUAAUUGCAUCAUUUAUUUAAAUAAGGCUCAGAGCAGAGAGUGUAGCGAGCAGAGGAGUGGAGUUCGGGGGGUGGCGGGGAGAGAGAGGAGCCUCACCCAGUCCCCAGCUUUUGUUAUUUUUUAAUGUCAUGCAAAGAGAUGAUAUCUAUGUUUGGUUCUUUAAAGCUACAAGUCUUUCCCCCCACCACUCACCCCAACACACACGCUGUUCCCUGCUCCUAAUUACAACAGCUGCAGUCAGACAACACUGUUCUUCGCCCUGCACAGCUGGACCCAUGCCAGGCCCAGAGACAGGGAAUUGGUUUCAUAGUCCCGCUUUUUCUGUUUAUAAACACUUACUUGGCAGGAUGCAAGGCACAGGCUGUUUUGUUCCCCAUCCUUUCACUAAUGGGCUUGCACAGAGGCCAUCUUGCUCAGAUGAGUGCCAGGCCAUGGCCCCACCUGGGUGGCUGCUGGCACCAGAUGUUGCCUGUGUCACAGCAGGAGGAAGGGAGGUGGCUUCACAGCCCUGUUGGAAGUGGUAUCAACUACACUUGCUGCUGGUUAGAGAAGUGCACAGCUCAGCAGGUCUGUUCCCCAGAAUCACCCAGGCAAGGAGCUCACAGCUACCUACUCUGCUAACAGAAACCAGGACUGCUAAUCUGCAGUCUGCUUCUGGGCCAGCCAGUGGGAAUGGGAGAAAAAACCUGCCUGGGCCCCCUUUCACAGGGCCCAGGAAGGGAGGGAAGGGCAUAACAUCAGGUCCUUUUCUCUGCUCCGAGCAGGAAGCUGAGGUCUCCAGCAACUCUCAGUUCUCCAAUGCCUUACAAUAUAACUGGAAGCAGUACAGGAGGAGCUUGAGUCACACCCUACACAACUCCCAUGCUUCAGAUUGCCCCGUACCGCCACUUGCCCUGAGCUCAUGGUAACAAACCUUCUUAUGAGCCGGUCUAGGUGAGCCCUUCUCCCUGCAAGAGACUCUGUGGAGCCAGAAAUGCCAACCAAAGCCCCUUUGCCCCAUCUACACAGGAGAUCAUAGGGUCCAAGCAGCAGCAACCCAGGACCCCAUACCCUGUAGCCCAAGACACACAUGCUGCUGUCUGAGAAGCAUUCCCUAGGUUCCUUGCUUUCUCCUCCCCAAAGCCAACUUCCCCCUAAGUGGGGCUGCAGGCUGCAAUGCUGCCUGUCAAAGGAUAGACUGUCCUAAGGCAGAACAAAUUUUCGUGAGAGCCAGGUCAAAUCUGAGACCUUCUUGCAAACCCAGGGGGAGCAACCUCUCUGGUGUUGUCCACCGCUUCAGGCAGCACCUCACAGCUGGAGAGGAGUUCAUGGUUGGGCACACUUGACAGCCCCAGCUGUGCUCAGAGUGAAUGCUCCAGGAAAUCUUGGCAAUCAGAGCUAAGGAAUAUGCAGUCAUACCCAUUCCCAGCCAGUGCGGGAUCUCCAGCCAGUGCCUGUGCUUUCCCCAGUCAAAUUUCAAGUGAUGGGUUUGAUGGUCAUUUGAAAUUUGAGUGCCCCUCCCAAAGCUGGCUCAUUCCCAGCCCCACCCACCUUACAGCCAGGAAUGUGCUCCUGCUGAGGAUCCUACAUCUUCCUGCUCCUAAACCCCACGUCCUAGCUUUAACAUUAUUUCUGCAACCCCAUGCUUCCCACAUGGCAAGUCCUCCCUUUGCUUGGUGUCUGUGCCCUUUCCAUGACCACAGGCAUCUCUCAUAUCUUCCCUUAGUAAUCUCUUAGCCAAGCUAUACAUACUUAGUGCUUUUAAUCUUCCCUCAUAAAUCAAUCCCUUCAGUUGUUCAUCAUUUGUGUUGCUCAUCUCUGAACUCCCUCCAGUUUGCCGACAUCUGUCAGGUAUUGGUUUCCCUGGCUUUGAAAUGGGAGCUGCAGGCGCUUUGAUAAAUGGAUUGAAAGAUU